UACGAAGGUCCCGAGCGUUGUUCGGAAUCACUGGGCGUAAAGGGCGCGUAGGCGGCAUGGUAAGUCAGAUGUGAAAUCCCGGGGCUCAACCCCGGAACUGCAUCCGAUACUGCCUUGCUUGAGGGUUGGAGAGGUAGCUGGAAUUAUCGGUGUAGCAGUGAAAUGCGUGGAUAUCGAUAGGAACACUCGUGGCGAAGGCGAGCUACUGGACAACAUCUGACGCUGAGGCUCGAAGGCUAGGGGAGCAAAAGGG
rnacentral:rRNA from 1 species